rnacentral:rRNA from 1 species
UAGGGAAUCUUCCACAAUGGACGCAAGUCUGAUGGAGCAACGCCGCGUGAGUGAAGAAGGUCUUCGGAUCGUAAAGCUCUGUUGUUGGUGAAGAAGGAUAGAGGCAGUAACUGGUCUUUAUUUGACGGUAAUCAACCAGAAAGUCACGGCUAACUACGUGCCAGCAGCCGCGGUAAUACGUAGGUGGCAAGCGUUGUCCGGAUUUAUUGGGCGUAAAGCAAGCGCAGGCGGAAUGAUAAGUCUGAUGUGAAAGCCCACGGCUCAACCGUGGAACUGCAUCGGAAACUGUCAUUCUUGAGUGCAGAAGAGGAGAGUGGAACUCCAUGUGUAGCGGUGGAAUGCGUAGAUAUAUGGAAGAACACCAGUGGCGAAGGCGGCUCUCUGGUCUGCAACUGACGCUGAGGCUCGAAAGCAUGGGUAGCGAACAGGAUUAGAUACCCUGGUGAGUCCAUGCCGUAAACGAUGAGCGC